CAGCAGGCGCGAAAACUUUACAAUGCGGGAAACCGUGAUAAGGGGACACCGAGUGCCAGCAUCAUAUGCUGGCUGUCCGGGUGUGUAAAUACACCUGUUAGCAAGGGCCGGGCAAGACCGGUGCCAGCCGCCGCGGUAACACCGGCGGCCCGAGUGGUGAUCGUGAUUAUUGGGUCUAAAGGGUCCGUAGCCGGUUUGGUCAGUCCUCCGGGAAAUCUGACGGCUUAACCGUUAGGCUUUCGGAGGAUACUGCCAGGCUUGGAACCGGGAGAGGUAAGAGGUACUACAGGGGUAGGAGUGAAUCCCUGUAAU
rnacentral:rRNA from 1 species